UGAUUCAAUCGUUAAAUUUAAAGUUCUUAAUGUAUAAAUCAAGUUUGCAAAUUCUUAAAAAAAUUUAAAAAUCAUUUAAUACUUUAUUUUAUUAAUUCAAAUUGACAGAUAAUCAUAAAGUUAUUUUAUACAUUGAUUUGAAUUAAUGAAAUGAAAUAUCAACUAAUUUUUAAAUUUUUAAAAAAUUUGUAAACUUGAUUUAUACAUUAAGAACUUUAAAUUCAAUAUAAUUGUAUUC
rnacentral:miRNA from 1 species